GUGAAAGUCGAGCGAAUCUUUGGGAGCUUGCUCCCAUUGGUUAUUGCGGACGGGUGAGUAAAAAUGGGCAACCUACCUGUAAGACUGGGAUAACUUCGGGAAACCGGAGCUAAUACCGGAUAAUUCUUUUCUACACAUGUAGAAAAGCUGAAAGACGGUUUCGGCUGUCACUUACAGAUGGGCCCGCGGCGCAUUAGCUAGUUGGUGAGGUAACGGCUCACCAAGGCAACGAUGCGUAGCCGACCUGAGAGGGUGAUCGGCCACACUGGGACUGAGACACGGCCCAGACUC
rnacentral:misc_RNA from 1 species